AGCAAAAUGAUGAGAUCCUAUGACUGAACUUUAUGUAGAAAACAUAUUAUGGUCUUCAAAGUUCUCUGAUUGCA